ACAUGAUGAAUGAUUUGCUUGCAUCCGUAGAGUCCUCUGCAGGGAUGGACGAAGUAGUAAUUCAGAAUGAUUAGAGAAGUUUAGGCCAAGUGAGAAACACCUGAGAUUCGCAACUACAUGUUUAGAAAUGAAAACGUUUAAGCUCAUUAAAGUCUUACUUCAUGGUGUUUUUCUUUGAGUGGCGGGUUUCAUGACUACAUGAUUAGAAAUGAAAACGUGUUAGCUCAUUACAGCUUUACUUCAUGGAGUUUUCUUUAAGUGGUGGGUUUCAUGGAAGCAGUGGACUCUAGAACGUCUGUUAGGACUUGUUUAUCUGGUGAUUGUGGAGAAAGACGAGCGAAGUGAGAUUCCAAACAUUGAUAGGAAAAAGUAUCUGGUCCCAGCUGAUUUGACUGUUGAGCAAUUUGUCUAUGUAAUCCGA